CCUACGGGAGGCAGCAGUGGGGAAUAUUGGACAAUGGGCGAAAGCCUGAUCCAGCCAUGCCGCGUGUGUGAAGAAGGUCUUCGGAUUGUAAAGCACUUUAAGUUGGGAGGAAGGGUUGUAGAUUAAUACUCUGCAAUUUUGACGUUACCCACAGAAUAAGCACCGGCUAACUCUGUGCCAGCAGCCGCGGUAAU
rnacentral:rRNA from 1 species